UCCCUGGUGGCUAAGUUGGUAAAGAAUCUGCCUGCAACGCAGGAGACCCAGGUUCAAUCCCUGGGUGGGGAA